rnacentral:rRNA from 1 species
UACGUAGGAUCCGAGCAUUAUCCGGAGUGACUGGGUGUAAAGAGUUGCGUAGGUGGUGUCUUAAGUAGCUAGUGAAAUCUGGUGGCCCAACCAUUUAGACUGUUAGCUAAACUGGGAUACUCGAGAGCGUCAGGGGUAACUGGAAUUUCUAGUGUAGGGUUGAAAUCCGUAGAUAUUAGAAGGAACACCGAUAGCGUAGGCAGGUUACUGGGGCGUUUCUGACACUAAGGCACGAAAGCGUAGGGAGCAA